CGCGUAGGCGGGGAGGUAAGUCGGGUGUGAAAUCCCUCGGCCCAACCGAGGAACUGCGCCCGAGACUGCUUCUCUUGAGUCCCGGAGAGGAAGGUGGAAUUCCCGGUGUAGCGGUGAAAUGUGUAGAGAUCGGGAGGAACACCGGUGGCGAAGGCGGCCUUCUGGACGGUGACUGACGCUGAGGCGCGAAAGCGUGGGGAGCAAACGGGAUUAGAUACCCCGGUAGUCCACGCUGUAAACGAUGGGUGCUAGGUGUGGGGGGUAUCGACCCCUCCCGUGCCGAAGCUAACGCAUUAAGCACCCCGCCUGGGGAGUACGGCCGCAAGGUUGAA
rnacentral:rRNA from 1 species